GUAUGGCAGGAGUGAUGCGUCAAUUGGAUGUGUGAAGUGUAUUGAUGAACUCAAGUUUGAGGUUUAUUGAUAUUCUGACCUGCCAAUU